CACUUCAGCAGCACAGAAGGCAUUUCAGUCUCUCUGAGUGACUGCAGGACUAUAGUGACUUUUUAAUCUUCUUAAUUUUUUUGUGAAUUUUGAGCACAAACCAUCUGGACUUGUGGGUUAGAAACAGGAGAAAGAUAAACAUGCUUCUCAUUUUCACCUUGUACCUGAUUUCAGACAGAGGAAAAAUGGGAUCUUAAAGGAAAAUUCUUUGCCGUGGAUGAAAUUCCGGCUGGAGUUUAUAGCGUGCUCAUUAGAAAUUUAAGCCAGGAGGAUGGAGGAAAUUACAGAUUUGGAGUGGAAGACCAAAAUGAAAACCUGUUAAAUGUGGAGCUGGAUGUGGAAAAUGGUCUGUAUUAUGGAAAGUCAUUUUCACAGACGACUCAUCCUGGAGACGUUGUUACCUUCAGCUGUACAUAUCCAGAAGGGCAUGAAAAUGACAUGAAAAGUGUGUACAAAGUGACCAGUCAGAGCAUAUUCGCCAUCAUAUUCACUUAUUCAGACUAUGAAAACAAAGACAAGUAUGUUCUUCACGUCUCCUCGAGAGAUAAAGUCAUCAAUAUGAGCAUCAGCAAUGUGACGGUGGAUGAUGGAGGACUUUAUCUGUGUGGAGUUUUAAAGAAUAAGCCUUCUUAUGUGUCCAUCUUCAGUGAAAUGCAGCUUGAAGUUACUGCUCCAGCUUCCUCAUCGGCCAUCAUCAUCACUGUGUACGUCGGUGUGGCUCUGCUGCUGAUCGCAGGAUUUACGCUGAUCUUCUACAAACUGUGGUCCACGAAGGCAAAAGAUGCUUCCUCGCCAGCCGACAGAGGAAACCCAGUGAACAGAGAGGGUGCCUACUCUGCCUAUUAUGAGAAGAUUCAGGACACACAGGCCGCUACUGUUUAUGUCAGCGCCCAGAAACCCCAAACUCAUCCUAUCUUUCCAAAUCUGUCUGGUAGAACUGCGACUUCUACAAGUUAGCACAAAAGCAACAUCUCCAAACACAGCUGAUCAAAACCCCAUGGUCCAGCUUUCCAAAACAAAAAAUGUAAUUAUUAUUAUUAUUAUUAUUAUUAUUAUUAUUAUUUUCACACAUUUUAAUUGUUGAUUUACCCACUAACCCCUCCAAUUUACCCACAAACCCCUCUGGUUCCCCGACAUGCACUGUAAUUUAUCCACAGACCACAGCAAUCAUAGAAAUCAUGUGAAUUGUCGCAUGAUCAGUUUGUGUAGCAACGAUAUUAUAGCACUUCCUUUUAAAGUUUCAGAAUGUCCAGAGGAAGUGAGUGAAGAAGGACAAGUCUGUUCUGCUUUUUAUAACCAUUACUGUUUAUUAUUGUUAUGAUAUCAGCACAUCCGAUUGAAAUUAAUCACAAAUAUUGCAUGUAUGAGGUAUAAUUCUGAUAUUUAAAUGAAUUAACACAUCAAACAGACAUAUUUUCUUAUUUUCUUUUUGUGAAAAGUUUACUAUAAUGAUGAUGACAAUCAGUUUUUUUACAGCACUGGGGAAACCCUACCUCAGAAACUGAUCCAUCCAGGUUUUGUCCUUUCUCACUUUGACUAUUACAAUGCAUCACUAACAGGACUUCCUACAACUUGUGUAAAAUGCAGAAGCAGGAAUAUUAGCAUGUUGUCAAAAACAGGGCUUUAUUAGAGAAGUUCCAGCAUCACUAAACUGGCUGCCUGCUUCCUAUAACAUUGACUCUAACAUUUUAUCACUAGUUGAUAGCACCUUCACACACAGAGGUCUCUGAAAAACUUUAGACUGCUUUAGACUGCUCCAUUUUUAGGCUCCACUGAAAAAAAGUAGUAAAUAAAAAUAAAAUAAAAAUAAAAAAAACAUUGUUCUCAUUUUAGCAUUGAACUAGUUUUGCAUUAUUUUCAUUAAUUUUGCUGGUACAUUACAUCUAUAUUAUUUUCAUUGCAGUUUUAUUUUAUUUUUUUUACAAGUUUCGGAUCGAUCCUGAGGUCGGGUUACUGUCUGUGUGGGGUUUUGCAUGUUCUUUCCGUGUCCAUGUGAGUUUCCUGCAGGUUCUUGGGUUUCCUCCAACCUCCCCAAAACAUGCCAGUAGGUGGAUUAGGAAGGUGGAUCAGGACUGGAGACCCACUCACCUCACACUGGUGUUCCAGGAUAGGCACUGGAUCCACCAUGACCCUGAUCAGGAUAAAGCGCUUACUAAAAGCGAGGGAGUGAGAGUGUUAAUAGUGAUAUUUCUUUUUGCUAUUAUUUGCCUAUAUUGUUAUUUUUCAUGACGACUGUUUGGUUAUUUUCUUCUCUUGUAUUUUUUUUUACUACAUAUUGUAAUUCACUGCAAUAUAAAUGUAUGAAAUGUGCUAUAUAAAUAAAGUUGUUUAUUAUAAUAAUAAUUAUUAUUAUUAUUAUUAUUAUUAUUAUAUAGAAGAGAAGUAGAAGUGUAGACUGUGACAUUUACAUAGAGGGGGAGAGAGAGGGAGGGAGGAGGAAGUAAAAUACUAUUUAGUUCACAGAAAAUCAUUCUGACAAGAUUAAAGCAUUAUGCAGUAAAGUGAAUUGCACCUGCAGCUUGAAUUGAACACUCUGCUCGUUCUUAUCAUCUGUCUUAUCCGAGGUAAGUGAUAAGUUUACUUGUGUGCUGGUGCUGCUUUGUGUUAUUGUGCAUCGGAGGAUGUAACGAUUAUUAUGUGACGCCAAAGCUAAAACUGAGACACACAACAAACUAAACUGCUUAUGAGUGUUUGGUCUGCUGUAAUGAUGAUACAGUUAUCAUCUAGAAUGGGAAACCAGAAACGACACAUCCUCAGGCUUUUUGUUAUCAUGUAAAACAAGUACUCAUCUGUACUUAAUUGAUUCAAUUAGACUAUAUAUUUGGUACAUAAAUUAUAUUUGGUGCAUAUAAGCUCUAAAUAUAUAAAAACACUGCAUGCACUUUAUCAUAUGAUAGUUACAGAUGUCAAAAAAAAAAACCACAACCCUUCCAACCCUUCUUCCAACAACACAGUACACCAAGUACACCAUGACAUCAUCAUCAUCUUUAUCCCAUACAUCAGGUACCUCUGUGGGCAUCAUUGUCUCAGUCUCUGUGGUUCUUCUGCUCUUUGCUAUUCUUCUCUACUUGUUUCUUAAAUGGAAACAAAAUAAACACGAUCACAGUUCCUCAUCACACACUGUGAACACAGAUGACUUAAACAACCGACAGCUUGGACAUACUGAAGAGGACUAUGAGGAGAUUAAAGACUACAAAUUUCACACAGAUCUACACACUAUUUACAACAAUGUUGACAUACCCACUGAUCCCUCAGAGUCACCUACUGAGCUUGAACAUACUGCAGAGGAUUUCGAUGAGAUUAAAGACACGAAAUAUCAUCCAGAACUAUGUAGUGUUAACACCAUUACUGAAGCGCCAGCAGAUCCCUCAGAUCAACCCGCAGAUCCGACUGAAAGCCACGAGUACAACACAGUGAUCUUCCUGGAGAAUUCACACUGCUCUGAACUCGAAACUUCCAGCUCUGUGAUACAGGAGAUAAAUGAGUGAUGUCUCUACCUGUCAAUCAUCUGUCAAGAGUCCUGACUCCUGAUAUUUUUCAUUAUAGAAGAUGUGAAGUGUAAAUUGUUGUUUCUAAAAUAUACACAGGUGUGUUAGAUACUUAUGUUUUACUGUGACUACAUUUCAUUUGACUGUUUUAUAGCAGAAAUAUGGUACUUUUCAUUAGAUUAUGUUAAUGCUUACCUUUAUCAAUGUGUAUCACUGUUUUAUUUUAGUUGUGUUACUAUAGGCUUAAUUAUCACAAAAAUAAAUAACUAAACCCUACAUACUACAAUACUACAUAUAAUGUGUUAUGCUUGAAUAGGAGAACUGUUUGCUGGUUUUGUUGCAUACUUUUUUUUUUUUUUACAUUUUUCCAUGCGUUAAUAAUAAAUGUCGAGAAAUGGGAUGAAUGAACUGCGAUUGCUCAUGUUUGCAGUGUGGAUGCAUUUCCUAUAUUUACAUUUACAUUUACAGCAUUUAUCAGAUACCCAUAUCCAGAGCAACUGACAGAAGUGCUUUACAGUCUCUAUUAAAAACACAUCCUCCUGCUACUUCACUAGUUCAGGGACUAAGAGUACCAUCAGUCUAAAAACCCUGUUGGAGAGGAUUUCUUAAGAGAUUAACAAAGUGCUAAUUUAAGUGAUUGGUGAAGAGGUAGGUCUUUAGUCUUCAUUUGAAGACAGCCAGGGACUCACCUGUUUGGGCAGCCAGACGAAGGAGUGCCAGGACAGAGAAGAGUCUUAAUGCAGGUCUUUCUUGUAUCCUGAGAGAU